AAUCCCACUUUUUUUGGCUUUUAAUGUUUGUUUCACCCAAAGGAUUAGUAAUCCACUUUUAUAGAAUUGUUCCAAUUCCUAAUACCAAGUUUGGUUCAAUGAGUCAAAUUUUUUUGGGAUCGUCACUGUAGCAACGGAAAUAACCCCCAAAAAAACAGAUUUUCUUGCAUCAACCACUGUAGCAACGGCUAUUUAAGCCCCCAAUUGCUUAUUUCCAGCAAAAUAAACACUGUAGCAACGGUAAUAAGCCCAGGAAUCAGAAAUUGCAAGCAUCAAGCACUGUAGCAACGGUUGUUUAUAGUUAUCACUGUAGCAACGGCUAGUACAAGGGGUAUGGUGUCUAUAAAUACACCUUGAGGCCUCACAUAUAAUCCCAUCUUUCUCAUUUUUCAACCCAAGAAAAAUUCCCAAGCUCUUCAAUUUGCUGCAGGAUGAUAUCAGAAGGGUGCCAUGCUAAUUAUGAAGUUUAUUGCGACUGCAAUCUACAAACUAUAUGGUUAGAUCACUAAUAAUUUACACGCACACAAAAAAAUUAAAUAAAGUUAAAAAAAACAGCAAUUUAAGUUCUUAAAAUACUGAUUUGAAACAUAUUAUGAAAUUAAUCUCGCCCAAAUCGGAUAUCCGCAUGAAAUUAAUGUACCUAACAACCUAAUUCUUGCAAAUUUACAAAAAAUCCACUACACAGAGACCCGCAUGAAUUAUUUUGCUGUAAUAUUAUGAAAUUAAUCGAACAAAUCAUUGAAAUUGCUGUGUGUGUGCCUCUAUUUCUCAUAUGCUUCAAAAUUAAAUUUAAUUUUUCAAAUCACUGGAAAAAAUGGACAAAGUAAAAGGGGGAAAUUUUUAUACCUUACUGCAGAGGGGAAAAUGCCGACGUUCAAGCUCGUGGAAAUCAAGAAGAUCCCAACCCAAGUUGAAGAAGAUCCCAACCAGAAGGGAUCACCAAGAAUCGAAGGCAAGAAAACCAGCAACAAUCUCGUGGAAAUCAAGAGCUAGGGUUUCGAGAAAGAGGCCCGACCCCAAGUAUCAUCGUAGACGAAGAAGCGCGGGAGCAGAGGCGCAAGGAAGAGGGCGAUUGAGGCGGGAGCGGCAGAGCGAUUCCAGAUCUAGGGAUCGAAAGCGUGAAGCCAGGAAUCAGAAUCGACGGGGAAGCUCAAGUGUCAGAAAUCUCGCCCAAAUCGGAAGCAAAUGCUCGGAUUUGGGUUUCUAAAAAAAAGGACAACUGUAGCUACUGUGUAGAAGAUGUAAUCCCAAAAAAUUUUGCUGAACCAAACUCCAGAAUAGGAUUCACAAAGAAUCCAUAAUUUACGAAAAUGCCACUGUCAGAACCCAAUUCCUAAUCCUAUUCUAUAAAAGCCUGAAACAAACAGGCCCUAAGAGUGAUUCUUUCCCCUAUGUUGUCCCUUUCAUUUCAUUUUCCCUUUGUUUUCUCCGGAGGAACUUAAAGGAGCUUCUUUGAUUCGAAUCGUUGAGAAAGCUCAACGAAAAAUUGCGAUCGGUAAUCACUGCAGUAGGAUGCAGUGUCGAACAAUAGCACAAAAUUUAUUGCUGCAAUUGAUCUUUGGGCUUCUCUCAGUGGCCAUGGCCAUGGCCUCUGGAGUUCAUGCGCUGUGUUUAUGUUGCCGUCUGAUGGAGACCGUGUUUGUUGCCCACUUGUGAUAGCUGAUGAGGGGGUUUCAAGAAUCAAGGAACAUCAUAUGAAGGAAUUGAGGGAUGGAGUUCACUGUUUUAACAAUUUUUUACGUGAUGGAUUGAUUAUCUCGAUGUUAAUGAAGAGAACAAUGCUGUGGUCAGUAAAUUUCAUCCAUUUCGGUAGAUAUCGUUGUACGAGCAUCAGGACAAAGACCUCAAUGGAGAAGACAAAGACCUCAAUGGAGAAAAGAAUGAGGUUGACAAGAAAAGCAUAACUCGUGGAGAUUGAACCGUUUACUCUGGACUGAUCCCCUAUCCUCAUCGCAUUCAGUCACCACGUAAUACAUACCAGGUUUUGGCAAUUGCUACGUGGAUCGCUUAUCAUAGGGAAUAUACCUUAAUUUUCUGCCCAAAGCUAAUGUCUUUAUAUCGGAACAGUGUGCGAUGGGAAAACAAGCUAUGGGAAACAUUGCUUAUAA